UAAAAUUCAUAAAAAUUCAUUCUUAACAUACAUUUUCAGGAGCAAAUUUCGUGUCUUUAUAAAGUAAUCAGCAAAUAUGUAUAUUUUAUACUAACAAUAGUUAACCCUUACUGAGCACUACAUGCUAGGCACUGGUCAAAGCACUUUAUAUUAUUAUCUUAUUUAAGUCACUCAACCACCCAGUGGGUAUAUAUUCUUACUACUCUAUGCAAAAGUAGUAAUAGGUAGUAGUAAUUGAAAAGAAGAUUUAUUUCUUGCAGAAUUAAAAAUCUACUUAAGACAAUAAGACAUAAACUAGCAAUUAUGUAUGCUAGAAACUGUUCUAAAAACCUGAUAUCUAUAUCAUGUCUGUCCAUCUAUCUGCUUAUCAUCUAUCUAUCUAUCUAUCUAUCUAUCUAUCUAUCUAUCUAUCUAUCUAUCAUCUAUCCAUCAUCUAUCUAUCUAUCUAUCUAUCUAUCUAUCUAUCCCUCUUACAUGAAGGACUCUGUCAGAUACUCCGCCAUGUUUUCAGACAUAGCCAAGUUAUGCUUGAAUCUCAUUGACCAGUAAAAUUAAAGACUCAUGUUAAGACCAUUGCUAAUAGUCUAACUGAGCAAGGCAAACUUUAGCGCAGAGCAGGUAGAGUAUUUAAAUGGAGUCCUUGGCAUUUAGGGACCCAGUUUAAUCUUCAAGAAUAUUGAACAUUGGCCCCCGGUGUCUUCUGGCUUGUAGGGUUUCUGCUGAGAGGUCAGCUGUUAGUCUGAUGGGCUUCCCUUUGUAGGUGACCUGGCCUUUCUCUCUGGCUGCCUUUAACAUUUUUUCCUUCAUUUUGACCUUGGAGAAUCUGAGGAUUAUCUGUCUUGGGGUAGAUCUUUUCAUGGAGUAUCUUACUGGGGUUCUCUGGAUUUCCUGAAUUUGAGUAUUGGCCUGUCUUGCUAGGUUGGGGAGUUUCUCCUGGAUGACAUCCUGCAGUGUGUUUUCCAACUUGGUUCCAUUCUCCCCAUCUUUUUCAGCUACUCCAGUUAGUCGU
rnacentral:lncRNA from 10 species